rnacentral:lncRNA from 1 species
AGCCAUCCAACCAAGUCCAGUGGCAAGAAAGAAGUCGGGAUGACUAUCUCUGGCUCAGGAGACAAUGGAUGAUCUUGGCGUCUUCCAUGUCUGGCCAAGCUGUGAGCACUCCAGAGCACCUGCUUCAGCCACUUUCAUGGGUCAUUGGAAUAAUUGUUCUCAUUUACCCAUUCCCCUGGGGGACUUUUUACACGCUUGGGGUCAAACAUCAUCCUCCUUGGCAAGAGAAAACAGAAGCAAAAUAAGUAAAAGUAUUUAUGACUUUCAUCUGCCAUCCAUUAUCAAUUUUAUCAUGAUAUUUUGUUCUAUGGCUUCAAUGGGUGGUGCAGUAUCCACUAUCUGGCAACCUAUGACUUGGAAUAUAGAAGGAUGUUUCAAAGUCUAUGGACAGAAGCGAAAAUUGUGUCUGAAAAAAAGCCUGUAUAAAUGACCCAAAGAGACUCCUCCAAUCAUUACUCAUUGAGACAGAUUUUCCCUAUGUGAUGGUCUAUCUCUAAGAUCGAAGAAUGGUUCAGAAGGAGCUUGAAAAGAUGCAACUAUUAUUAAUUUUGUGACAUAAAUUCAUUGAAUCCAAUUCCUUCAAUCAACACUGUAACAGUACAGUAGCAAAAGCACUGGAUUUGGAGAUAGGAAAUGUGUUCAACGCCUGACUAUUGCUACUUGGAUAAGUCAUUGGGAAAAUCAUUUAGUCUCUCUGGGCCUUGGUUUUCUCAACUUUUAAAAAAGGAACAUUGGAUUAAAGGUCAUCUUUCAGCUCUAAAUCUAUUAUCCUACUCCUCAUAUUGCAGGGGUUUCCAUUCCCAAAGUCCCAAACCUCUUAGUGGAAUGUAUAUAGGACACAAACGCUUAACUGUAGAGAAGACACAAAAAUGUUCCUUUGAAAGUCUUCCCAAGAGGCUGAGUGUAUGCCCAAGAAGUUGAGAGGCAAAUUGAAAUGAAAAAGGUAAACCAAACAAACAAAAUAAUUGGGAAAUUCUCAGUUACAAUCUGCCAUCUUGUUUCUGGAUCUACCCAGUGUCUUAUCUCACUCUCAAAUAAUUGCUUCUUUAAACUUCCCAAACAACCAACCUGUGCCUCUCAGUUCCCCAUCUCUACUGACUGCUUUUUUGUGCAAAUAUCCUGGUAUCCUGUUGCUUAGAUUUUCUCUUAAUGUGGCAUAGUCCCAGCUGUUCCAGUGUGGUUCAGAUCCACUUGGCUAUCCUCAAGCUCUCCUGGACCUGGUCCAGAUGACUCUGUCCUGGAUACUACCCAUUCCAACAUCUUGAAUCCCUUUGAGUGUAUUGUGAAAUUUACAUACAAUAAUGCAAUCUUCUCCUUCAUCCUAAAUAUCCCCUUUUUGCUCAUUAUGACUUCCAGCUCUAAUAGUUCCUUCCUUCUGCUUUUCAUACUUGGUUGGUGAGCAAAUAACUUAAAUGAGCUACAGGUCAUUCAGGAUGACCUUUAAACACUUCUGAACCAAGGGAAAACCACCUGCAAAGAACAAAUUGACAACUGCUCAACUCUAAGAAAGCCCCUAUAAAUGAGAGAGCAACAUGGUACUUCUAACACCUCCAGAAAAGGUGGUCAACCGUUUUAUUGGGCUAUUCCCUCUCAUUAAGGUAAUCAGCUUAAUAGCCUUAAAGAUUCCAUUACUAAUUACAUUCAGUCUUCUAUUCUUUCUUCCUCUGCCACAACACACUUAAAUGCUAUCUCUACUCUUGGUCUAUACCAGAGAUGUCAAACAAGGCUCCCAAGUAUAACCUGAACCAAAUUAAAACGAAAUUGAGAUUUAACAAGAUGAAUAACAAUCGAAUAAAAUAUAGAUAAAAGUAGGUGGAAAAUGAAGU